CUGUUGGCAAAAAAAAAAGCCUUCCUUCAUUUCCCUUGAUUCUUUUCAUUCCAAAGAAUAGAACAUGGCCGAGGUGGGUGUGGUAUUUCUCUCUGUCAUCCUUGGAGGGGCCUUUGAUAAAAUGGCUUCUCCAGGGGACAUUGAUUUCAUUCGCGGAUGAAAACCAACCGACGCACUCUUAAAGAAAUUGGAGAUAGCAUUGCUGUCAAUAAAUGUGGUGUUUGAAGAUGCAGAAGAAAAGCAAGUUACGAAUCCUAAUGUAAAAAGGUGGAUUGAUGAGCUAAAAGAUGUUGCCUACGAUGCAUAAGACAUAUUGGAUUAGAUUGCUACUAAGCCCUCCGACGCAAGUUGGAUGCUGAAUUCCAACCAGUUGCGAGAAAGGUACGAAACUUUAUCCCUAGAACUUUCCAUAAUCCUUUUGCCCAUCGAGUAGAGCCAAAGAUAAAGAGGUACUUGUUAAACUGGAACAUCUAGCAACACAAAAGGAUGUUAUGGGUCUACGAGAAGGAUUUGA